GGUGUCCUACGGGACGCCGCAGUGAGGAAUAUUGCGCAAUGGGCGAAAGCCUGACGCAGCGACGCCGCGUGAGGGAUGAAGGUCUUCGGAUCGUAAACCUCUGUCAGCAGGGAAGAACGGUCACUGUGCUAAUCAGCAGUGAAUUGACGGUACCUGCAAAGGAAGCACCGGCUAACUCCGUGCCAGCAGCCGCGGUAAUACGGAGGGUGCAAGCGUUAAUCGGAAUUACUGGGCGUAAAGCGCUCGUAGGCGGUAUGUCAAGUCAAGGGUGAAAUCCCCGCGCUCAACGUGGGAACUGCCUUUGA
rnacentral:rRNA from 1 species